rnacentral:rRNA from 1 species
UUUGGUGACGAUGCGCUUAUGGGUAACACCCGUUCCCAUUUCGAACACGUAGGUUAAGACGUAAGCGGCCGAUGGUACUUGUCUGGUAACGGACCGGGAGAGUAGGUGGUUGCCAAAU